CAGUAGCCGCGGUAAUACAGAGGGUGCGAGCGUUAAUCGGAUUUACUGGGCGUAAAGCGUGCGUAGGCGGCUAAUUGAGUCGGAUGUGAAAUCCCCGAGCUUAACUUGGGAAUUGCAUUCGAUACUGGUUAGCUAGAGUGUGGGAGAGGAUGGUAGAAUUCCAGGUGUAGCGGUGAAAUGCGUAGAGAUCUGGAGGAAUACCGAUGGCGAAGGCAGCCAUCUGGCCUAACACUGACGCUUAGGUACGAAAGCAUGGGGAGCAAACAGGAUUAGAUACCCGUGAGUCCCUGUCUCUUAUACA
rnacentral:rRNA from 1 species